rnacentral:ncRNA from 1 species
CCGCAACCGAACGGGAGCCCCAGAGACCGGGCUGAGAGGAAGUCGCGGAGACUUCGACCGUCAACUUGAUGCGGAUAAUGCCGCCGUAAGGAUGACAGUUGCAUUCGGAUG